AGAGUUUGAUCCUGGCUCAGAUUGAACGCUGGCGGUAUGCUUAACACAUGCAAGUCGAACGGAAACGAUACUAGCUUGCUAGUAGGCGUCGAGUGGCGGACGGGUGAGUAACGCGUAGGAAUCUGCCUGAUAGUGGGGGAUAGCCCGGAGAAAUUCGGAUUAAUACCGCAUAAUCUAUUUGUAGUAAAGUGGGGGACUUUCGAGCCUCACGCUAUCAGAUGAGCCUGCGUAAGAUUAGCUUGCUGGUAGGGUAAAAGCCUACCAAGGCGACGAUCUUUAGCUGGUCUGAGAGGAUGAUCAGCCACAUCGGGACUGAGACACGGCCCGAACUCCUACGGGAGGCAGCAGUGGGGAAUAUUGGACAAUGGGGGCAACCCUGAUCCAGCAAUACCGCGUGUGUGAAGAAGGCCUGAGGGUUGUAAAGCACUUUCAAUUGUGAAGAAAAGUUAACGGUUAAUAACCGUUAGCCUUGACGUUAACUUUAGAAGAAGCACCGGCUAACUCCGUGCCAGCAGCCGCGGUAAUACGGAGGGUGCAAGCGUUAAUCGGAAUUACUGGGCGUAAAGCGUGCGUAGGCGGUUUAUUAAGUCAGAUGUGAAAGCCCCGGGCUUAACCUAGGAACUGCAUUUGAAACUGGUAAACUAGAGUAUGGUAGAGGAAAGUGGAAUUUCUGGUGUAGCGGUGAAAUGCGUAGAUAUCAGAAGGAACAUCAAUGGCGAAGGCAGCUUUCUGGACCAAUACUGACGCUGAGGUACGAAAGCGUGGGUAGCAAACAGGAUUAGAUACCCUGGUAGUCCACGCCGUAAACGAUGAUAACUAGCCGUUGGGGGGGAUUUACCCUUUAGUGGCGAAGCU
rnacentral:rRNA from 1 species